AACGAACGCUGGCGGCAGGCUUAACACAUGCAAGUCGAACGCCCCGCAAGGGGAGUGGCAGACGGGUGAGUAACACGUGGGGAUCUGCCCAAUGGUACGGAAUAAUUCCGGGAAACUGGGACUAUUACCGUAUGUGCCCUUCGGGGGAAAGAUUUAUCGCCAUUAGAUGAACCCGCGUCGGAUUAGCUAGUUGGUGAGGUAAAGGCUCACCAAGGCGACGAUCCGUAGCUGGUCUGAGAGGAUGGUCAGCCACACUGGGACCGAGACACGGCCCAGACUCCUACGGGAGGCAGCAGUGGGGAAUAUUGGACAAUGGGCGCAAGCCUGAUCCAGCCAUGCCGCGUGAGUGAUGAAGGCCUUAGGGUUGUAAAGCUCUUUCACCGAUGAAGAUAAUGACGGUAGUCGGAGAAGAAGCCCCGGCUAACUUCGUGCCAGCAGCCGCAGUAAAAC
rnacentral:rRNA from 1 species